CCUACGGGUGGCAGCAGUAGGGAAUAUUGCUCAAUGGGGGAAACCCUGAAGCAGCAACGCCGCGUGGAGGAUGACGGUUUUCUGAUUGUAAACUUCUUUUGUUAGAGAAGAUAAUGACGGUAUCUAACGAAUAAGCACAGUCUAACUCCGGGCCAGCAGCCGCGGGAAUACGGAGGGUGCAAGCGUUACUCGGAUUAACUGGGCGUAAAGAGCGCGUAGGCGGGAUAGCAAGUCAGAUGUGAAAUCCUAUGGCUUAACCAUAGAACUGCAUUUGAUACUGUUAUUCUAGAGUAUGGGGGAGGUAGGUGGAAUUCUUGGUGUAGGGGUAAAAUCCGUAGAGAUCAAGAGGAAUACUCAUUGCGAAGGCGACCUGCUAGAACAUAACUGACGCUGAUGCGCGAAAGCGUGGGGAGCAAACAGGAUUAGAUACCCUUGUAGUC
rnacentral:rRNA from 1 species